AGAGUUUGAUCCUGGCUCAGGAUGAACGCUAGCGGCAGGCCUAACACAUGCAAGUCGAACGGUAACAUAGAUUGCUUGCAAUCUGAUGACGAGUGGCGCACGGGUGCGUAACGCGUAUGCAAUCUACCUUUUACAGGAGAAUAGCCCAGAGAAAUUUGGAAUAAUGCUCCAUAAUAUCAUUUAUCAGCAUUGAUUUAUGAUUAAAGCUCCGGCGGUAAAAGAUGAGCAUGCGUUCUAUUAGCUAGUAGGUGAGGUAACGGCUCACCUAGGCUACGAUAGAUAGGGGCCCUGAGAGGGGGAUCCCCCACACUGGUACUGAGACACGGACCAGACUCCUACGGGAGGCAGCAGUGAGGAAUAUUGGACAAUGGAGGCAACUCUGAUCCAGCCAUGCCGCGUGCAGGAUGACUGCCCUAUGGGUUGUAAACUGCUUUUAUAUAGGAAGAAACACUCCCACGUGUGGGGGCUUGACGGUACUAUAUGAAUAAGGAUCGGCUAACUCCGUGCCAGCAGCCGCGGUAAUACGGAGGAUCCAAGCGUUAUCCGGAAUCAUUGGGUUUAAAGGGUCCGCAGGCGGCCUGUUAAGUCAGAGGUGAAAUCCUACAGCUCAACUGUAGAACUGCCUUUGAUACUGAUAGGCUUGAGUUAUUGUGAAGUGGUUAGAAUGUGUGGUGUAGCGGUGAAAUGCUUAGAUAUCACACAGAACACCCAUUGCGAAGGCAGAUCACUAACAAUAUACUGACGCUCAUGGACGAAAGCGUGGGGAGCGAACGGGAUUAGAUACCCCGGUAGUCCACGCCGUAAACGAUGGAUACUAACUGUUCGACCUUCGGGUUGAGUGGUCAAGCGAAAGUGAUAAGUAUCCCACCU
rnacentral:rRNA from 1 species